UACGUAGGGUGCAAGCGUUAAUCGGAAUUACUGGGCGUAAAGCGUGCGCAGGCGGUUUUGUAAGUCUGACGUGAAAUCCCCGGGCUCAACCUGGGAAUUGCGAUGGAGACUGCAAGGCUAGAAUCUGGCAGAGGGGGGUAGAAUUCCACGUGUAGCAGUGAAAUGCGUAGAGAUGUGGAGGAAUACCGAUGGCGAAGGCAGCCCCCUGGGAUAACACUGACGCUCAUGCACGAAAGCGUGGGGAGCAAACAGG
rnacentral:rRNA from 1 species